UUUAAUGACCCCACCCUAUUUUUGAAUUUUUUUUAUUAUCUCCCCUUGUAAGGGGACUUGGCCCUUGAUUUCAAAUAAUUUAAAUUUCCCUUUACCCAACGAUGCUUUGUUCCAAGUCUGGUUAAAAUUGGCCCUGUGGUUCUUCAGAAAAAGUUGAAAACGUGAAAAGUUCACAGACAAUGGGUGAUCAGAAAAGCUCACUUAAAACUUUCAGCUCAGGUAAGCUAAGAAAAAGCGACACACACUUAGCAUAUCAAUAAUUUAUAUCAUACAUAUAAAACCUGCAAAUUCUUAUAUUUCAGGUCUUCCAGUGUGGCAAGUUUGAAGUGAACCAAAACACCCUUGACAGGUUUCUGCAUCCCCCACUCAAACUGUGGACGAGAUUCUCCUUAGUCCGACUAAAAGAACCGUCUCGGUUAAGGGGAUCCUGAAAAGAGCUUCUGACAUCAUUGAAUCCCCGAACUCAAAACGACGGGAGCUGCUGAUAGAAUCGCUGGAGGGAUCCAGCAGUGUCACAUGUAAACCCUGGGGGGAGAGCGUGGAUUUAGCCCUCCCACCCACAGACUCUAUCCUGACAGCGAAUUGUGUGGAGGUCUCGUCGUGGAAAGGCUCAAUCUCCCUCAAUUCAUCCGUGCUGACCACUCUGAAUGAAAGGAAUGAGUCCGAAAAAUUGAAUAGUUUGCUGAAAAAUGUCC